rnacentral:rRNA from 1 species
UACAGAGGUCUCAAGCGUUGUUCGGAUUCAUUGGGCGUAAAGGGUGUGUAGGUGGCGCGCUAAGUCGGGUGUGAAAUUUUGGAGCUUAACUCCGAAACUGCAUUCGAUACUGGCGUGCUUGAGGACUGGAGAGGAGACUGGAAUUCAUGGUGUAGCAGUGAAAUGCGUAGAUAUCGUAAGGAAGACCAGUGGCGAAGGCGGGUCUCUGGACAGUUCCUGACGCUGAGGCACGAAGGCCAGGGGAGCAAACGGG